rnacentral:hammerhead_ribozyme from 1 species
AUCCAGCUGACGAGUCCCAAAUAGGAAAAAACGCCCGUCCUGUAU